rnacentral:rRNA from 1 species
AUUGAACGCUGGCGGCAGGCCUAACACAUGCAAGUCGAGCGGAUGAAGGGAGCUUGCUCCUGGAUUCAGCGGCGGACGGGUGUGUAAUGCCUAGGAAUCUGCCUGGUAGUGGGGGAUAACGUCCGGAAACGGGCGCUAAUACCGCAUACGUCCUGAGGGAGAAAGUGGGGGAUCUUCGGACCUCACGCUCUCAGAUGAGCCUAGGUCGGAUUAGCUAUUUGGUGGGGUAAAGGCCUACCAAGGCGACGAUCCGAAACUGGUCUGAGAGGAUGAUCAGUCACACUGGAACUGAGACACGGUCCAGACUCGUACGGGAGGCAGCAGUGGGUAAUAUUGGACAAUGGGCGAAAGCCUGAUGCAGCCAUGCCGCGUGUGUGAAGAAGGUCUUCGGAUUGUAAAGCACUUUAAGUUGGGAGGAAGGGAAGUAAGUUAAUAGCUAGCUGUUGUGACGUUACCAACAGAAUAAGCACCGGCUAACUUCGUG